rnacentral:rRNA from 1 species
UACAGGGGGGGCAAGCGUUGUUCGGAAUUACUGGGCGUAAAGGGUCUGUAGGUGGCCAACUAAGUCAGACGUGAAAUCCCUCAGCUUAACUGGGGAACUGCGUCUGAUACUGGAUGGCUUGAGUGCAGGAGAGGAAUGCGGAAUUCCAGGUGUAGCGGUGAAAUGCGUAGAUAUCUGGAGGAACACCGGUGGCGAAGGCGGCAUUCUGGACUGUAACUGACACUGAGAGACGAAAGCCAGGGGAGACAA